rnacentral:rRNA from 1 species
AUUGAACGCUGGCGGUAUGCUUAACACAUGCAAGUCGAACGGUAGCAGGCCUUCGGGCGCUGACGAGUGGCGGACGGGUGAGUAACGCGUAGGAAUCUGCCUCAUAGUGGGGGACAACGUGGGGAAACUCACGCUAAUACCGCAUACGCCCUACGGGGGAAAGCGGGGGAUCUUCGGACCUCGCGCUAUGAGAUGAGCCUGCGUUAGAUUAGCUAGUUGGUAGGGUAAAGGCCUACCAAGGCGACGAUCUAUAGCUGGUCUGAGAGGACGAUCAGCCACACUGGGACUGAGACACGGCCCAGACUCCUACGGGAGGCAGCAGUGGGGAAUAUUGGACAAUGGGCGCAAGCCUGAUCCAGCAAUACCGCGUGUGUGAAGAAGGCCUUAGGUUGUAAAGCACUUUCAAUUGGGAGGAAAACCUAGUCGGUCAAUACCGGCAGCUUGACAUUACCUUUAGUAAGAAGCACCGGCUAACUCCGUGCCAGCAGCCGCGGUAAU